UUCACAUAGAGCGUGGAGACGAGUAGAACCGCUCGCACUGCUCCUGAGUAGAACGUAUCCAGAGAAACUAGUCAGCUUUCAACUAGCCUUCAAUGGACUGCAAGCAAGUGUACUCAAUCAUGAUAGAGACAGAGUGGACGUGGAGAUACCGACAGCGGUCGUUUCAAACUGGGAGUGUUUCAAGACGGAUAGCGAGCCCACCGCUAUGCAUUCAAAGUUCAGCGUAAUGCAAUGGAUAAAGAUACUCUACUCUCGACCAUGACAGCAUGUAACAGUUACAUGGAUAGUCACUUGUACAGCUAUGAUCAGCUGACAUCACUUCUAUACCGGUGGAUAGUUCUACUCUGUGAUAAGCGGGUGUUUAAAGUCUCAGCGGCCGCUCAUACACGUUUAUACCAGCAAGGUGUACACUACUGCGAUCGGCAGAGAAGAGUUUUAGAAUGUUUGCAACUGUCUUCACUACUUGGUGCCGUCUCUGAUUGAGGAACAGAGGA